GAAAUGCGAUAAGUAAUGUGAAUUGCAGAAUUCAGUGAAUCAUCGAAUCUUUGAACGCACAUUGCGCCCCCUGAUAUUCCGGGGGCAUGCCUGUUCGAGCGUCAUUUCACCACUCAAGCCUCGCUUGGUAUUGGGCGACGCGGUCCGCCGCGCGCCUCAAAUCGACCGGCUGGGUCUUCCGUCCCCUCAGCGUUGUGGAAACUAUUCGCUAAAGGGUGCCGCGGGAGGUCACGCCGCAAAACAACCCCAUUUCUAAGGUUGACCUCGGAUCAGGUAGGGAUACCCGCUGAACUUAAGC
rnacentral:misc_RNA from 1 species